CGUGGCCGCCGUUCCACCACAACCCUUCCCUCCCCUGCCCUGCUCCUCGUCGGCGGAAGACCAUGGCGGCGCUCCUCCGCCGUCUCCUCCUCCUCCGCCGCCUCCCCGUCCUCCACCCCCAGCCCCAGCCCCAGCCCCGCCUCCUCCCCCACACCACCACCCCAACCCCCCACCCCGCCCUGCUCGCCCCCGCCCGCGGCUUCUCCUUCUCCUCCGCGGAGGAGGCCGCGGCGGAGCGGCGCCGCCGCAAGCGCCGCCUCCGCAUCGAGCCCCCGCUCCACGCGCUCCGGCGGGACCCCUCGGCCCCGCCCCCGCCGCGGGACCCCAACGCGCCCCGCCUCCCGGACACCACCUCCUCCCUCGUCGGCCCGCGCCUCAGCCUCCACAACCGCGUGCAGUCCCUGAUCCGCUCGGGCGACCUCGACGGGGCCUCGGCGGCCGCCCGCGCCGCCGUCAGCUCCCGCGUGCGCCCCACCGUCUUCACCUGCAACGCCGUCGCCGCCUCCAUGGGCCGCGCGGGCCGCCACGACGACGCCGUGGCGCUCUUCGACUUCUUCUUCCGCUGCUCCGGCAUCGUCCCCAACGUCGUCUCCUACAACACCCUCAUCCUCGCCCACUGCGAGGCCGGCCGCGUCGACGAGGCGCUCCGGGCCUACCAGGAGAUGCUGGACGGGGCCACCUCCUUCUCCCCCUCCGCCGUCAGCUACCGCCACCUCACCAAGGGGCUCGUCGCCGCGGAACGCAUCCAGGAGGCCCUCGAGCUCCUCCACAGCAUGUACCACCGCGGCCAGGGCGCCGACUCCAUUGUCUACAAGAACCUCAUCGACGGCUACAUCGCCCUCGACGACUGGGACAAGGCCUUCGAGCUCUUUGCCGAGCUCACCGAGAAGGCCACCGUGUACGACGGCGUCGUGCACACCAGCUUCAUGGAGGGCUACUGGAAGAAAGGCAUGGACAAGGAGGCCAUGGAGAAUUACAAGUCUCUGCUGGACAGGAACUUCAAGAUGACGCCCGCCACCUGCAACGUUCUGCUCGAGACACUCUUCAAGCAUGACAAGCACAAGGAGGCCAAUGACCUGUGGGAGACCAUGAUUGACAACCACAGCCCGCCAAGCUUCAUCGGCAUGAACAGCGAGUCCUACAAUGUCAUGGUCAACCAGUGCUUCAAGGAGGGCAGGUUCCAGGAUGCCAUUGAGGUGUUCCACCGCCAGCCGAGGAGGAACGUCCAGAUGGACGUCGGCUGCUUCAACAACAUCAUCGGGAAGCUCUGUGAGAAGGGGAUGCUUGCAGAGGCAGAGAAGCUCUUUGAGGAGAUGGAGAGCAAGUCGGUGCUUCCAGAUGUGUACACCUACACUUUCCUGGUCGACUUGUGCUUCAAGGAAGGUCGUGUGGAUGACACGAUUCAGUACUUUUACAAAAUGGCAGACGGGAGGGAGCACGGCCCAAAGUUCAACAUCGGCUUUUUCAAUAGAAUGUUUGAAGGACUUUCACAAGCUGGCCGGAUUGAUGAUGCCUUGAAGGUGUACGGAAGGAUGUCUGACAAGGAGAUCAAGCCGAACACAACAACAUUUGAAAUCCUGGUUAAUGCACUGUGCAAGGAAGGGGAAUUGGAUAGAGCACUGGACCUGGUGAGGGACAUGGCAAGGAGUGGUGUUGUCGCAACUCCUGAGUUCCGGGAGUCUGUCGGUGAGAUUUUCAAGAAUGCCGAUCGGCACGAAGAGAUCGAGAAAGCUUUUGAAGAAAAACCAGUGCCACUGCCUCCUCAGCCAAGACCAGAGGUUCGCCCUCGCAGUUCACCUCAGGGGUUGCCAGGAUUUGCAUCUAAUCAGACACGGGGCAGCUACACACCUAACCAAGGCCAACCAGGUUAUGGUUCUCCACAACCAUUUCAUCCUGCCAAUGCUGCAUCUCAAGUGCGGCAACCCGAGUGGAUGUCUCCUAAACUUCAGCAGCCCGUGUCUGGAAACCAACAAGUUGAAAAAACAGAUGUUGGUGCUUCUAAUAAAUGGCUGCAUGGUAUUUCUUCUCCUCAAGAAAAACAACAUGGGAUUGCCCUGCCUCAAGAUGGAAAACAGCCAGAGUUUGGUACCUCUCGCCCUUGGCAGCAAACAGUUGGUGCUCCUCAAGUUCAGCAACCUAAUUUUGGCUCAGCUACACCACUGCAGCCUGGGUUUGGUAGUCGACUGCAGCAACCACCACAUGUUGCUCAUGAGACUCAACAUCCUGGGUUUGGCACAUCUCGUCCAUGGCAGACAGGGUAUGGUGCUCACCAAGCACAACAGCCAGGCCAUGGCGCUCAUCAAGCGCAACAGCCUGGGUAUGGUGCUCAUCAAGCGCAACAGCCUGGAUAUGGUGCUCAUCAAGCGCAGCAGCCUGGAUAUGGUGCGCAUCAAGCGCAGCAGCCUGGAUAUGGCGCCCAUCAAGCGCAACAGGCCGGAUAUGGCGCCCAUCAGGCGCAACAGCCCGGAUAUGGCACCCAUCAGGCGCAACAGCCCGGAUAUGGCGCCCAACAGGCGCAACAGCCCAGAUAUGGCGCCAAUCAAGCGCAACAGCCUGGGUAUGGGGCUCAUCAAGCACAACAGCCUGGGUAUGGGGCUCAUCAAGGGCAACAGCCCAGGUAUGGGGCUCAUCAAGGUCAUCAGCCUGGGUAUGGUACUCAUCAAGCGCAACAGCCUGGGUAUGGUGCUUCUCAGCCAUCACAGCCAUCAUUUGGUGCCCCUGAAGCACCACGGUCUAGUUUGGGCUCUGCUCAGAGUCUCCCACACUAUGGCCACAUAGGAAAUGAGCAUGAUCAGCUUGGAUCUUCUUGUCAAGGUGGACCAGCAUUUAGCACUCAGCCACCGCAGACUGCUGAGGCCCCAGACAACAUGGCUGUCAAAUACAGUCAGCGUUACUAGUUUUUUUGCAACCCUGGGCUCCAAACCAAAUAUACCCUAAGUUAAUGAGUAGGAAAGUGCCAAAAACAAUUCUUAUCUUUGUUAACAAGCUGCUGCACGGAUGGAAUGGUCUGUUAGUGGAUGGAAAACUGCUGGAAGCGGGUGAUUAAAAUGGAUGAUGGUCGACACCACUACAAUCUUACUUUUGGAUGCUGUCUAUUGGAUACAUGGCUGAUGAUCUUACUAGAAGAACAGCUUGUUGAUUCUGGUGGUGCUGCUCCUGCUACUUAUCUUGGAAGCCCGAUGCCAGGAUGAGUGUGGUGUGCUGUGUUCUGCAAGUGUUUUUGGGUCAAGAAUAGCUCAUGGAAUCUGGUGUACUGAGUACAAGAGGUCCAGGUUUUUAGGAACCGCAGGAGUGCUUAUGGUGGAGGGCUUUCUGGAACUGCUUUUAGAGAGAGGAUUAUUCGUGCUUUCUCGGUCAAAGAGCAGAAGAUUGCCAAGAAGGUCCUGAAAAUUCAGAAAACCAAAGACAAGAUAGCCACAAAGUAGAGCUCCUUUAAAUUGACGUUGCGCUGCUGUUUUGUACACAAUGAAAAAUA